ensembl:lncRNA
CAAGGGUGGAAAUGUUGUAAAUGAAUAUCACCUGGGAUAAGGAUGCCUGAUGGGAUAAGGAUGCCUGAUGACCCAAGGUUGGAUACGUUGUAAUAUCACCUGGGAUAAGGAUGCCUGAUGACCCAAGGGUGGAAAUGUUGUAAAUUAAUAUCACCUGGGAUAAGGAUACUGGAGUGAUGGAGGUAGAUAUGUAUAGGGGGAAGGGGACAGGGAUACUGGAGUGAUGGAGGUAGAUAUGUAUAGGGGGAAGGUGACAGGGAUACUGGAGUGAUGGAGGUAGAUAUGUAUAGGGGGAAGGAGACAGGGAUAUUGGAGUGAUGGAGGUAGAUAUGUAUAGGGGGAAGGGGACAGGGAUACUGGAGUGAUGGAGGUAGAUAUGUAUAGGGGGAAGGUGACAGGGAUACUGGAGUGAUGGAGGUAGAUAUGUAUAGGGGGAAGGUGACAGGGAUACUGGAGUGAUGGAGGUAGAUAUGUAUAGGGGGAAGGUGACAGGGAUACUGGAGUGAUGGAGGUAGAUAUGUAUAGG